AUUGAACGCUGGCGGCAGGCCUAACACAUGCAAGUCGAACGGUAACAGGAAGAAGCUUGCUUCUUUGCUGACGAGUGGCGGACGGGUGAGUAAUGUCUGGGAAACUGCCUGAUGGAGGGGGAUAACUACUGGAAACGGUAGCUAAUACCGCAUAACGUCGCAAGACCAAAGAGGGGGACCUUCGGGCCUCUUGCCAUCGGAUGUGCCCAGAUGGGAUUAGCUAGUAGGUGGGGUAACGGCUCACCUAGGCGACGAUCCCUAGCUGGUCUGAGAGGAUGACCAGCCACACUGGAACUGAGACACGGUCCAGACUCCUACGGGAGGCAGCAGUGGGGAAUAUUGCACAAUGGGCGCAAGCCUGAUGCAGCCACGCCGCGUGUAUGAAGAAGGCCUUCGGGUUGUAAAGUACUUUCAGCGGGGAGGAAGGGAGUAAAGUUAAUACCUUUGCUCAUUGACGUUACCCGCAGAAGAAGCACCGGCUAACUCCGU
rnacentral:rRNA from 1 species